rnacentral:lncRNA from 1 species
GCGCAUAGGGACUAGGAGUACAAUAAAUACAUAAUUAAUUCUAACACCCCCCCGCAAGCUGAUCGUCGGUAGAGCGGACGUUCAGAUUGGAGCGAAAGUCGGUGAAGACGGAGGAUGGAAGACCCUUGGUGAAGACAUCAGCGAACUGCGACGUGGUGGGCACAUGGAGGACACGAACAGCGCCAAUGGCCACCCGUUCACGGACAAAGUGAAGAUCGAUCUCCACGUGCUUGGUGCGCUGAUGUUGGACGGGGUUGGAGGAGAGGUAGACGGCGCUGACAUUGUCGCAGUAGACAAGGGAUGCAGUCUUCAGAGGGUGGUGGAGCUCCUGCAGAAGUUGUUGCAGCCACGAAAUUUCAGCGACUCCGUUAGCGACGGCGCGGUACUCAGCCUCGGCGCUUGACCGAGAGACUGUUGGCUGCCGCUUGGAUGACCAAGAGACAAGGCUGCCACCAAGGAAAACAGCAUAUCCGGAGGUGGAGCGGCGAGUGUCGGGGCAGCCAGCCCAGUCGGCAUCGGUAUACACAAUGAGCUGUGUGGGUGCAGAACGGGAUAUGAUCAAACCAUAGCCAAUAGUGCCCUGAAGGUACCGAAGAAUCCUCUUAGCAGCAGUAAGGUGAACCUCCCGGGGGUCAUGCAUAUGAAGGCAAAUCUGUUGGACAACAUAGGCAAUGUCGGGCCUUGUGAAGGUUAAGUACUGUAGGGCACCUGCAAGGCUGCGGUAGGCAGUGGGGUCAGCCACAGGGGAACCAGCAGCAGCAGGGACUUUGGCACAAGUGUCAACCGGGGUCGAGCAAGGUUUGCAGUCACUCAUGCCAUGACGGGCAAGGAUGUCCAGAAUGUAUUGCCGCUGAGAGAGGAAAAGAGUGUCCUUGGUGCGGUGAACAGCCACGCCAAGGAAAUGGUGCAGAGGGCCAAGAUCCUUCAUAGCAAACUCAUUCUUCAUAGCUGCAAUCACACGGUGGAGGAGCUGCUCGGAGGAAGCUGUGAGGACAAUGUCAUCCACAUAUAGAAGCAAGUAAACUGUAUCAGUGCUCCGGCGAUAUAUGAACAGAGAAGUGUCUGACUUUGCUUCGGUGAAUCCGAGAGACAACAGGAAGGAGGCAAACCGGCUGUACCAAGCACGCGGGGCCUGCUUCAAUCCAUAUAGAGAUUUAUUGAGUCUGCAUACAUGAUUGGGAAGAGCAGCAUCAACAAAUCCUGUGGGCUGAGAGCAGUAGACCGUCUCUGACAGGGUGCCAUGAAGGAAAGCGUUCUUCACAUCAAGUUGGUGAAUUGGCCAGUCCCGAGAGUGAGCCAAGGUGAGAACAGUGCGGACAGUAGCGGGCUUCACAACGGGGCUGAACGUCUCAUCGUAAUCGAUGCCAGGGCGUUGAGUGAACCCACGAAGUACCCAACGAGCCUUAUACCUGUCCAGAGAACCAUCAGCAUGAAAUUUGUGUUUGAAGAUCCAUUUCCCGGUGACCACAUUUGCCUUAGCUGGCCGGGGAACAAGCUCCUAGGUGCCGUUGUCCAUGAGGGCAGCAUGUUCUUCCAUUGCCUUGCGCCAAUGAGGAUCGGAGAGAGCAUCACGGCAGGAGCGUGGCAGAGGAGACAAAGCCUCAGUGUGCAUAGCAAAGCGAGGCUGCCGGUACCCAAUCUUCCCGCGGGUUGCCAUACCAUGAGUGUUGGCAACCGGGGGAAUGGUGACAGCUCCAGGUGGAAGAGGUGGACCACUCUUGACGUAGCGCGGCGGAGAUGGAACCAUGCUGGAGCGACGAGGAGGCGCCCCGGCGGGGGACGGGGGUGGCGGCGGCGUGCUGGGAGCAGGGGCGCGCCGGGAGUAGACAUGAACCACUGGUGGUUUUUCAAAGUGAACCACCUGGGACGCCUGCGACGCAGGAGCCUGCUGCGGGGCAGGGGCUUGCUGCGGGGCAGGGGGCGCCUCCAUGGGAACCACCGGGGGCGCCUGAGGUGCAGGAGCCUGCUGCGGGGCAGGGGGCACCGCCAUGGGCGCCGGAUGUGCAGGAGCCUGCUGCGGGGUAGGGGGCACCGCUAUGGGCGCCUGAGUCGUCACGGGCACCUGCUGUGGUGCAGGGGGCGCCGGCAGGGGCGCCUGAGCAGGGGACGCCGGGGCCUGCAGAGGCAGGGAGGUGCCCAAUGAUCUAGGCGCCAUGAAGCCAGGAGGGGGUGCCCUUGGUACAGAACCUACAGGGGGUGAGAAAACAGCUGGCAGAGAGUCAUCAUUAGUGAGGAAAUCAAGUUCGUGGGUAGGAGGUGAGGGCCGGCGAAGGCUGAAAGGGAAUGUUGUUUCAUCGAAAACAACAUGGCGAGAUAUAAUGACCCGGUUGGAGGUGAGGUCAAGGCACCUGUAGCCUUUAUGAUCAGGGGAGUACCCCAGGAACACGCACAGCGAGGAGCGGGGGGCGAGUUUGUGGGGAGUGGUGGCGGUGAGGUUAGGGUAGCAUGAGCAGCCGAAGGCUCGAAGAUCAUGGUAAGAAGGGAGAGUGCCAUGAAGGGCGAAGAAUGGGGUGCUCAUGUUAAGGGUUUUAGUGGGGAGACGGUUGAUAAGGUGGGGUGGCGGUGGCGAGAGCGUCGGCCCAGUAGGAGGGUGGCAUGGAUGCUUGGAAGAGUAGAGUGCGAGUGACGUUGUUGGCGGUGCGAAGCAUGCGCUCGGCCUUGCCAUUCUGCUGUGAGGUGUAGGGACAAGACAUGCGAAGGGAUACACCUUUGGCAAGAAAGAAAGUGCGAGACGCAGAGUUGUCAAACUCACGGCCGUUGUCACAUUGCACAGCUUUGAUGGUGCAACCGAACUGCGUGAGCACGUACGAGAAAAAAUUGGAAAGAGUAGUGAAAGUAUCAGACUUUAGUUUGAGGAGAAAAGUCCAAACAAAAUGCGAACAGUCGUCAAUAAUGACUAGAUAAUAUUUGAAACCCGAUACACUGACAAUUGGUGACGUCCACAAGUCACAAUGUAUCAAGUCAAAAUUUUUGGACGCUCUAGAAAAUGAAGAAGAAAAUGGUAGGCGAACAUGGCGUCCGAGCUGGCAAGCAUGACACAGGGAGGGAUCACCGGGUGUGCUGCUGCAGACAAUGGAGGACGUUUUGGCGAGGUGCUGGAGUGUAGAUGACCCAGGGUGACCGAGACGGCGGUGCCAAGUGGUUGAUGAAGGAGUGGCAACCAGGGCGCAGGGACCGGAAGGUGAUGACGGAAGCUGCAGGGUGUACAGAGGGCCCGAGCUGUCACAGCGAAGGAGGAGGUUCCUGGUACGAAGAUCCUUCACAGAAACACCAAGUGGGUCAAACUCAACUGAAACAAGAUUAUCGGAAGUAAAUUGACGAACGGACAGAAGAUUUUUGAUUAUGUCGGGGGCGACAAGGACAUUGUUGAGGCGGAACGGGCCAGGGAGUGUUGAGUAGCCGGAGCCCACAACAUGAAGAGUGGCACCGUUCCCUACAACAAUGGAAGAAGGAAAGGAGGAGGUAGGGGACAUGGUGACCAUACCGGGAUUCGCAGCAAUGUGCGAUGAGGCACCCGAGUCGAUGACCCACUCCGAAGGGUUCGGGGGAGGGAUGAGGGAGACCGUGCUGAACGCGUUGGCCAGUGACUCCGGGUUCCAGGGCGACCAAGCCGGAGGGGGCGCUUGUGGAGGCGCUGCAUAAUACGCCCCAGGCGCCGGGGGGUAGAACGUCGGGGGUGCGCCAGCCGCCAUAGCUUGAUGAGGCGAGCUGCCGACGUGAGGUGGGGGGCCACGCUGACCACCAGGGGUGGAACCGGGCCACAUGUGAAUGGACCCGGUCCACGGAUUGAGGAAGGAGGGCCAUGGAGUGGAACCCUGCGUGCUGCCUGGUGGAGCAGGGCUCGAGCCAGAGCCACUGGAGUUUCUCUGGCCGCGCCCGCCGCGGCGACGGCGACCACGGUUGUUGGGAGGCGAGGCCCCCCCGGUCGCCGCGGCUGCCUGAGGAGGACGCGGGAGGACAGGAGCAGACGCCUGCGUGGGAGCGUUGGUCUUGCGGGGCGCCGAAGUGACAAGGGCCGAGGGAGCCGCCGACGAAGGCGUCAUGUUCAGCUCAGCCAGGCGCAGGUCAGCGCGGACGUCGGUGAACGAAGGGAACGGCCUCUGGCGGGUGACAAGCUGAGCCAUGAACUGGAACCGUACGUUCAGACCACGCAGCACGUUCAAGACGAGCGUGCGAUCUGGAACAGGUUCGCCGAGGUCGGCAAGAGCGUCCGCCAUACCCUUCAUCUUGCGGCAGAAAUCGUCGAUGGAGAGGGCGCCUUGGGUGAGGGUGCGGAACUCAGCGUCGAGGAGCAUGGCACGGGAUUCGCGAUUGUUCAGAAACUGCUGCUCGAUCCCGAGCCAUGCCACCCGUGCAGAUAGACCGUCGGGCUCAUGAACAACGUCCAAGAGAUCGGCGGAGAUGGUGUUGAAGAGCCACGAGACGACGACGCAGUCCAUGCGAGCCCACGCCGGAUCAUCAGGACGGGCGGCGUCGCUGAGGACGUUGUCCUUCAAAGCGAAGCGGCCGAGGAUGAGCAGAAUGUAGCCACGCCACUUGGAAUAGUUGGAGGAGUUGAGGUCCAGAACAAUGGGGAUGAGGUUCUUGAUGUUCUGGACAGCAGCAGCUUGGCUGUGGAGAUGAGUGACGGCAGCAGCUUCAGAGGAGAAGGAGCGGGCGUCGUCCUCUUCAUGGUGGUCGUCAUCACGGCGGGGCUCGGGGCGAAGCCGUUCCCGGAGGUCCGCGGCCUGCCGCUCGAGGAGGUCCGCCUGGGCGCGCUCCUUUUCCAGGGCGUCGGCGGCAGCACGGACACGGUCUUGGGCCGCGGCGGCGGACUUGAGGAGGUCCGCCUCCGCCUGGAGUUGGAGGCUGCGCUCCAUGUUGGAGGAGCGGAGGGAGGUGGCUUCGUCUUCGAGCUUCUGGGCGGCGGCGGCAGCUUCGUCGCGGAGCUUCGUUGCGGCGGCCACAGCAGAGGCGGCCGAGCCUGAGGUGGCGGCCAUGGGGGCGCGGCGACGGCCGGGAAGGCGGCGCGCACAGCAGCCGAUGGGGCGGGCGUGGCACGAGGCACCGCGCGGACGCGGAGCGAGGCGGGCGCCGAGGGAGCGGAAGGGAUCGUGUUUAGAUUGAUACCAUAUUAGAGAAUAGUCAAAAGACUUAAUAAUGAUUACAGGGGUGAUUACACAUAUAUAUAGCAGAUAGAGGCAGCCCAAAGGGCCUGCGCAGCCAGAGGUGGCGCAUAGGGACUAGGAGUACAAUAAAUACAUAAUUAAUUCUAACACAACACAAGAUUACGUUUAAGACAGGAAACAAAGCAUAGUGGUUACAGCAAAAUAUAGGAGUUGCACAAGAACUUCAGGAAGUAGCCUAUACUGUUAAGAAAAAUGUACAUGGAUGGUUAGUGCAGUAAAGUACAUAUAUCAGAGAACAGCCCAUGGCACAGUUUAGUGAAAGUCACAAGCUGGCUUUCUCUACUUUGUUCCCAUAUUGUCCGUACAAACAUUUACUUAAUGAACUCUAUCAAAUGAAAUACCAGAAUCACUAGACAUACCUUGAACCAUCUUCUGCAAAGCCUCAAUGGCAGGCGUGUCAGACAUCACAUAAAUAGGAUUCCGUGUCAUGAUCUUGGAAAUGAUGGUUUGCUCCACCCUAAGCCCCUCAGCAAUCACCCUUGUAGCUAUAUCCUGCACCCCAAUUUGAAUACAAACAAAAAUGAACAAGUCAUACUGAAAGCAGCAAAAAUAGGCCAUCGUCUGCUUGGUUAAAAUGCAACUUACAAGGUUUUUUACUUCAAAUUACUGAGUAGAAAUUAUAGAACAUAAAAAUAUGCCAUCGUCUGCUUGGUUAAAAUGCAACUUACAAUGUUCUAGUCUUCUAGAUGCCUAACAGAAGUACAGUGCAAACCAUCAUCAUUAACCUGGACUGCUUCGAUCGUUUUAGGCAUAAACCAACUACUAAAACGAGUGCAACAGCGCCCUUCUGUCCCUAUUCCAUUUACGCAAAGGGAAAAAUAUGCAUUGGUAAAAGGAAAUUCCUAUGAGUCGUCCAAGUUUGGUAAAAGAAAAGGCUGAUCGAAAUCUCGAAAUAAAAUGGAACUUUGCUUUGACAGAAACUGACAAUUGCUAAGCUCAAAGCUCCAAACCAAGAAUAUAAUCCAAACACAGAUUUUCCCCACGAAGAUAUGUACUAUGUAGCAUCUUGGGCUCCUGUUACAUCAAAUUAAAAAAAACUCACCCUUUUCCUCAUAUCUCAAUCUCUAUAAAAGCGCACUGGAACACAUGUAACCAUGAAACUGAACCAGAAAAUUAAGAGAAGAGAAGAGAAGCCACCUUGUCGGUGACUAUGCCGGAGAGGAGGCCAUGGGCGUCGGUGAGCAGCACGGCGUCGACCCGCCUCGCCGCCAUCCGCCGGCACGCAUCCGACACCGUCGUCCCCUCCGGUAUCGUCAGCGCCUUGGACAGCCGCAGCUUCUUCACUGUCCUCUCACCCCUGGGCAAGCAAGCCCAAACCAAUUCAAAAUCCAACCUUUGGCGGUCCCGGCUCGAAACCGAGGCGACGAAACGGAAGGAGAAGAUUGACCAAAGCUUUCCGCGCGCUUACGUGAGCUGGUUCGGGGAGGCGGGCUUGGAUGCGGCCUUCCCGUUCCCAUUCCCGUUGGCGGCGGCGGCGGCAGCGGCGGCCGAGGGGUCGUCAGACUUGCGGGAGGAAGCUGAUGGCGGGCGGCUCCUCGUGCGGCGGCUCGGCGGCGCCGCGGAAGCGGCUGAGCUCAUGGCGAAAUUUGCGGCGGAGCUCCUUGAGGAUAGUGACGCGGCGGCGGCGGCGGCCGGCGAGGCAGGAGCAGAAGGUGCGGUCGUGAUUCUGCUCCGUUUCAACUCGCAGUCUCUGGUGCUCCUUCGUUAGCGUGUGGGAGUUUUGCGUUUCAGUCACUCCAGUUCUGGGUUAUCAUGAAAAAUUACAGAUAGUUUUGGUACUUUUUUGUGCUUUGAACAUGUUUUUCACGAUUCUUAUCGAAUUUAGGCCUGAUUUAUUUUAAAAAAUUUAAGCUCAUUCACAUCGAAUCUUUGGAUGCAUACAUAAAGCAUUAAAUAUAAAAUAAAGUAAAAAUUAAUUGCAUAGUUUGUAUGUAAUUUGCGAGACUAAUCUUUUGACUCUAUUUAGUUCAUGAUUAGAUAAAUACAAACGAAAGUACUACAGUAGCCAAAGCCGAAAAUUUUCAAGAACUAAACAAAAUCUUAAUUAAAACUUUUGACCUUGUGCUAUGUUAACCGUAAUUAGAUAUACCUUCUAUUUCAUGAAGUGCACUAAGGGAUAGCACAAAUGUGUACUUCGCGAGGCAAAAUGGAAGAGGAGGAAAGAUAAGGCAGUGACACACUUUAAAUUAUACUUAUAUUUUCAAUACAAGCUAUGGUGAAUUCUUGUCUUUUUAGAAACGGUGUUUUCUGAAAUCUUUUUGCGAGUAACCAUGAUAGAGAACUUAUGUACAAUGGCAAUUUGUAGUAGUAGUUUACUAAGUUGCAAAAACGCUUUGCUAGCACAAUACGAAUAAGGCCUUGUUUAGUUCCAAAAAAUUCUAGAAAAACGACACUGUAGCACUUUCGUUUUUAUUUGACAAACAUUAUCCAAUUAUGGAGUAACUAGGUUUAAAAUAUUCGUCUCGCGAUUUACAAACAAACUGCGUAAUUAGUUUUUAUUUUUAUCUAUAUUUAAUGCUUCAUGCAUAUGCCGUAAGGUUCGAUGUGACGGGAAAUUUUGAAAAGUUUUUGCUUUUUAAGGUGAACUAAACAGUAGCAUUUGUUUGUUCCGGAGGAAAAUCCUGCUUUUUUUUUAUAAAGCCGAGAAUAGGUACAAUAGUGUUGCUUACUAGAAAGAAUGUUGUGAUGAAACGGUUGUUAUAACACGACAGAUGCAGGGCCUGAUGGAAACAUUUGCCAAUCAACCACUACUAGUCGUAAUGUCGUACUAUUAUUUAGUAGCAAAAUAUACUAAUAUAAUUGCGCAGGCAAACAGCCAAUUAAACGCGCCAUUGAUUGAUUGAUUCGCAAAGCCGCGUCGCGUGCACCACAUGCCCCGCACGGCCGCAACGCCCGUAGGAGCAUAUACCCACCGUCCCCACAACGACCGCGUGGGCCCGGCCGCCGCAGGCUCGCGCGUCCACUCACGUGACGUGACGGUGCACCCGGGUCCUCGCAGCUUCUCACAAUUUUUGAACUUGCGCCCCGCACCCGCGGGACUGGGAGGGACUGGGGAGUAGAUGUGGAGUAGAGAUGGCAAGGAGUAAUUACCGCUGGGUAUAUGCCACCUAUAUUCUUACCCACGAGAAAAUAUUUUACCCGUUAAUUUAUCAUACUUGUGCAAGGGUAAGAGUUUUGGCUCAUACCUUUACCCAUGCGGGUAACAGGUAACCCAUAGGUUAUCUUUACCCAUGAUUCCAAGAAUACUUAAAAAAAAUAAAUACAUAUUUAAAUAUUUCAGGCUCCUAAUUUCAACCAAAGCAUCACAAGUUAUUAAUAAAAUCAUCAAAUAUACAAGCUCCAUGAACAUCUGAUCAAGUAAUUACUAGAUAUCAAGUGCCAAAAUUCACAAGUUCCCGUGUUGUGCGGCCGCUGCAAGGAGAUAGGGGAAAGGGGAGGGAGCAGAUGGGUGAGGGUCUAGAGUUUGACAGCAUUAUAUAUAAUUUUUAUUGGGCUUGGGCUGUGUAUGGUCAUUUUGGCUCAUGAUUCUAACUUAUUGAAUUGGGUUAAAAUUACCCAUGGGUUAACGGGUAUGGACAAUGCAGUCUCAUACCCUUACCCGCUUUACCCGCUGGGUAAAGAUUUUUUCUCAUUAUCUUAACCAUGGGUAAAAAAAAUAGCCAUACCCUUACUCUAAUGAGGUAAUGACCCAUCGGUUUUGGGUUUCGGAUAAAGAUUAUCAUCUUUAACGGGGAGGCAGGGAGGGAUGAGCGGCAAGGGCGCAAGGCCCCCUCAAACUUUGGGGUAAUUUCGUGCAGGUCCCUCCGGUGGAACGCGCAUGUGUGGGGCCAUGGCAAGAAACCGGCGGAGGGAGCUGGGUGGCUCGCGGCAUGCUAUUGCUUGUUGCUGUGUCAGUCAGCAAGCGACAGGGGAGACAAAAUUCUUGACGGCCAAGCCACGACACGACACGACAACCAGCUGCAGGAGGAGCACUCGCCGUCGCAGGAGCCAUGCCACCUGGCGGCGGAUAAUCUACUGCGUUGUUUGCUCCUUUUAUCCCGGUCUUCAACAUUGCUCAGGCCUUGGCCUUGUUUCGUUCAAAAAAUUUUAGAUUUCGCUACUGUAGUAUUUUUGUUUUUAUUUGACAAAUAUUAUCUAAUCAUAAAUUAAUUAGAAUUAAAAGAUUCAUCUCACGAUUUACAAAUAAACUGUGUAAUUAGUUUUUGUUUUUGUCUAUAUUUAGGGCCUGUUUGGUACAGCUCACAACAGCUUUGUGAGCUGUUUUUUUUUGCCAAACACUUAUUUCCAAAACAGCUUCAUGGGUGAAGCUGUUUUCCCCUCCUCUCACAAAAAUAUAAGUUGGGAUGAAGCUGAAAAAAAGUAGCUUAUUGCAGCUCUCUCUCUCAUUUCUCUCUCUCAACUAUGCAUGAAGUAGUUUGUGAAGCUAUUUUGCCAAACACUUUUUCCAAAACAGCUCAGCUUCAUCUAGAAAGUCACUCAUAAAGCUAUUUUCUAAAAAAACAGCUUUACUAGUGAAGUUGAGCUGUGCCAAACAAGCCCUUAAUACUUCAUGCAUGUGCCGCAAGAUUCGAUGUGACGGAGAAUUUUGAAAACUUUUUGGAUUUCGGGGUGAACUAAACAAGGCCCUUGUUUAGACACGAAAAAAAUUUGGAUUUUGCUACUGUAGCACUUUCGUUUGUUUGUGGUAAAUAUUGUCCAAUCAUAGAUUAACUAGAAUCAAAAGAUUCGUCUCGUGAUUUACAGGCAAACUGUAUAAUUAGUUUUAAAUCUCCUCCAACUUUCAAGCUCGAGAGAGGUGAAUCAGUUACCUAACAAUUCAGGGUCCAAUAUAUUUAAUUAAAAAAUUUGGAAGAACGUUUUUUUUAAUAAAAAACAACUUUUUGGAAAGAUAUGAAACGUGUUUAAGAUCUUCUCUCUAAGAGAAAGCUCUUCUUUCUUUGUGUUUUUUAGUAGAUGCUCUCUUUAUUUUGUUAUAAUUAUUAGUCUACGAUGAUGACCCAAACUAGGAGCUAAAGUGACUUUGAGAAUAUUACGACUCCACAAAAGUGUUAUGUAACCACCUCAUGCUUCAUCUUUUUAAGCAUCCAUGGAGUGUUACAAUUUUGUGCUAAUACUCUCUUGGCUCUCAAAUAUAUCAACUCCUAAAGUGGUUUUUAAAUCAAAAUGAGUUCCUUACACAAGCUAUACCAAGUUAUAUUCAUAUGAUUACCGAGGUUGGGGUGGCUCACUAUGGGGCGAAGGAGAGGUAAGACGACGUUGGGGACAAGGAAUGGGGGCGGGGCUCCUCGAGGUGGCAUGGCACUCCUUGAGGUGACGAGGAUGAAGGUUGCGGUGCUCGUGGCCGGCGGGAAGGGGGCGUGGCUCCUUGGGGCAACAUGGAUGAAGACGACGACACUACUAACGGCCGAUAGAGACAAAAACGGUGAUGAUGCUCAACAACGACAAACAAUGGAGGAGAUGAAAUGUUGAUGGCUAGGAGAUAAUGCUAGAGGUGGGGAGGCAAAGUUUUUGUUAUGUAGGGAGGCACUUCACUAAUGGAAGAGCUGUUUUGCCAAACGGUUUACUAAAAUGGCUUUAGCUCCAUCAAUAGAGUUGUUCAAGGAGCUAAAGCCUUCAAAAACAGCUUCACUGAUGAAAUAAAGCCGUGCAAAAUGGGGCCUAUGUGUUUUAAUGGUGCAAGAAGAAUGCUCAUGAAGAUAAGGCCACGAUUGAAACCAGAGCAUGCUGGGGGAGUGAGUCCAGGCACCUUGGUUAUUGCAAGAACUGCCCACUUGGUUGUAGGUCUGCUUCAUAGUUUUGGAUGGUCGUCGGGUUGUCCUUGAUCUAGUAGAAAAAUUAUUUUAAUCAUGAAAAAUUUAAGCUUUUGUUAGAUAUAUUCAAUAAAUGGUAUGAAAAUUUUUAUAAAUUUUAUGUUAUACAUUUUUCUUGGUUGCACGUUAUAUACCCAUGUUUGUAUGCAAACUUCAAAGUUUGACUUUCGCAUAAAUGACCCGUUUGGCACGGCUGGAGCUAUUUUGGGGGUUUUAGCUCCAUAAACAGCUAUAUUGGUAGAGCUAGAGCUGUUUUGGUAAAUCAUUUGGCAAAACAACUUCUUUUUUAAAAUAUGCUCUCACAAAACGUCAUAUAGGAUGAGGUGAAGUCGGGACAAGCUACUAUUUUUUUCUCCUUCAUACCUAAAGGCUCUAUGAGAGCACGUUUUAGGGGCUUCAUCGGUGGAGUCAUUUCAUUUUACGCCGUUUGGUAGAAAACGGCUCCAAACGACUUUUGAAGCAGAGAAGCCCUGCCAAAUGGGGUCAAAGUGUAUCUAUGUUGUAAAUAAUGUAUAUGCUCCAUUUAUUAAAGCUGUUUAAAAAGUUUACAGCAAGCGUAUACACCCAAAAUAUGCGUGUUUUUUAUUUUUUGGGGGGCCGCUUUUAGGUGGUAUUAGCAUUAAUUAGUGGUAAUCUGGACACAAAAUGUUAAAUUAUCCUUGUAAACCAAUUCAUUUUUUAUACUCCCUCUACCCCUAAACAAAUAGAUUUCUAGAGUUGUCAUAAGUCAAACUUUUAAAAUUUUAGUCGAAUUUCUAGAAAAAAACAUUAAGAUUUAUAAUUUCAAAUUAGUAACAUUAGAUUUACCAUUAAAUAUAUUUUCAUAAGGUGCUCAUUUUAUAUCAUAUAUUUUGUUUCUAUUUUCUAUAAAGUUAGUUAAACUUAAAAAAGUUUGGUUGGUAUGGAUUCUAGGAAUCGAUUUAUUUGGAGAUGGGGGGUAUCCGACGAAUAAUUAAAUGAACCAUAUGGUCUUAAAUAUAAUUUUUUUGUAUUUUUUGAAUUUUAUUGGGUGCAUGCAGUUUAAUUUUGAAUUUUUUUUGAUAUGCACACACAAAAUUACUUUGAACUAUAAAAAAUAGUGUGUUAUUCCAAAAAUUUCUAAAACUCGCGGAUAAUAAAAUUAGGAUGCAGAGGUUUUAUAUCAUAACAGUAAUAGAGACCUUAAAAAUAUUACAUAUAGGAUAACAAAGACUUUUAGAGAAAAGUUACAACAUUCUCCUCACUAGACCAAUGUUAGCAUCGAAAUCUAGAAAAACAUUAUAUUAUAGCCAACCCCAUGAAUAUUUAUCUAGCAUCCAAGUGGCCGAGUGGGGUAUCAAAGGUGCAAGAGCAUAUUGGAGCGGCGGACGAGUCACUAAGGGCGUCCCCAAUAACCUUUUUAAUAGCUAGUUGACCUGGAGCCCGAAAACAAUUAAAUAAUAAAAAGUAGAUAGUGGUAAAGUAUGUUAGUGAGUGAAAUUUUCUUGAAAAACGUGCGAGCUAAGCUCUUGGUUCAUCGCUAGCGAGAUGAGUUCUUCGUUUCUCUUUCUUCUAGAUUGGGCAGAUGUUCCUCCUAGCUAGCUGACUGUACCACCGUUGGGGACGCCCUAAUGCCUCUCGCUCAAAUGUGACUCCGUCUAAUAACUAACCGGAUCAUGCUAGCAUUGCUCCUAGUGCACCCUAGCUUCAGCGUGCCUCUAUCUUCAUGAACAUUCUUCUAGUAUCUGUAGUACAUCAUCUUGUUUUGACUAUAAAGAGAAGAUGUUUGUGGAGGGAUUUCUCCAGAAAAAGAGUUCCUCUCUCACAGAGAUCACAGAGAUCACGUAGCGUAGUUUGUCCUUGUUUGGUGAAAUGAAAAGGAUGCCGGCACCAGCGCCAUUGAUGUUUAAAGACCCAUCGAAGAACAUUGACCAGUGAUCGAAGACAUCUGGAGGGGGUGGUGCGUUGAGAUCUGUCCAUUCUGCGAUGAAACGACCAGGGCUUGAGACUUGACGGUUGUUCGACUCUAGAAGUCUAACAAAAAUGGACAUAGCUCCAUAGCCCAUUUUACAAUCCUGUCGUUGGCGUCCUUGUUGCGCAGGAUGUCCCCCAACGGAAAACUCGUGGUAACUAAGACGCGAUGGCCAUCGAAGUAUAUAGUGCUUCAGCUUCCUUGAGGAAAUUAAGAUGGCGUAGAUUAAUUUUUGUAUCUGGGGAUACCUAGUCUUAGACUCAUUUAGGACUUCGCUUAUGAAGUAUACUAGUCUCUAGACUUUGUAGAUGCGGCCUUGUUCGUCCCGCUCGACCACGAGCACUGUGGAAACGACCCGAUCAGUUGCUGCUAUAUAGAGGAGUAGGUCCUCCUUAGAUUGAGGUGCGGUGAGGACGAGUGGUGAGGUGAGGAAAGUUUUGAGCUAGGUGAAUGCAGCGUUGGCCUCUUCUGUCCAGGAGAAUUUUUUCGAUGCUUUUAGAAGUCUAAAGAAGGGAAGCCCUUUUUCCCCAGCCUGGAGAUAAACCGGCCGAGAGCAGACAUGCACCCCGUGAGCUUUUGAACGUCUUUUACGUUCUUGGGUGGUCGCAUAUCGAGCACCGCCUUGACUUUUGAGGGGUUUGGCCGUAUGCCAUCGCGACUGACGACGUUGGCGAGCAGUAUACCAUAGGGAACCCCAAAGAUGCAUUUUUUGGGGUUAAGCUUCCACUUUUAUUUAUUUAGCACUUUAAAAGUGCGGUCUAAGUUGUCGAUCAGGGUGCUUGCGUCCUUGGUUUUGACGACAACGUCAUCGACGUAAGCCUCGAUGAGGUCAUCACGUAUCUCGUCGUGGAGGCAUUGCUGAAUAGCGCGUUGAUAGGUGGCUCCGGCGUUUUUGAGUCCGAAGGACAUGGUGGUGUAGCAAUACGCACCGAAAGGAGUGAUGAAGGAAGUUUUGAUCUGGUCGUCUUCCUUUAGCGAGAUCUGGUGAUAACUAGAGUAGCAGUCGAGAAAAGAGAGUAGUUCGCAUCCAGUCGUUGAAUCGACCACCUCGUCUAUACGAGGGAGACUGAAAGGAUCUUUAGGACAGUGUUUUAUUGAGAUCAGUGUAAUCAACACACAUUCUCCAUUCAUUAUUCUUUUUUCUUACAAGGACCGGAUUGACGAGCCAAUCGGGGUGAUACACUUCUUUAAUAAACCCGGCUACUAAAAGUCGUGUAAUAUGUGUCCUAAUAGCCUCCUUUUUUCACGAGCGAACCGUCGUAGCUUCUGCUUGAUAGGUCUUGCGGUCUUCGAGACAUUUAAGGAGUGCUCGAUCAGGCUUCAUGGGACGCCGGGUAUGUCUGCGGGUUUCCUUGUGAAAACGCUCACGUUGUCCGUUAGAAAACAUGACGAGCGCGUCUUCCUAUUUGGCGUCCAGAUUGGCUCCGAUGAGAGCCGUCUUCUCUCGGCUGCCGUCGACUAGUUGUACUUCCUUAUGCUCCUUGGACUUGGAGCUUUUUCUUGGAGUCUCCUGCUCGGGUAGUUGGAGCUGGUCGGGUGGGAUUUCAGUGGCUUGUGCUACAGUUCCUGCCAUGCGAAUCGAGAGGUCAAUUGCCUCGGUGAUCUUGAAGCUUUCUUCUUCGCAAGUGUACACGGUGUAGACGUUGCCUCUUACGGUUAAGAUGCCCUUCUCGGUCGGCAUCUUGAGGACUAGGUAUGAGUAGUGUGGAACUGCCAUGAACUUGGUAAGCGAAGGACGACCUAGGAUUGCGUGGUAGGUCCCAUCCAAGUCGGCGACCACAAAGUUGACGAACUCUGUACGGAAGUGGUCUGGCGUUCCGAACUGGACGGGCAGCGUUAUCUGGCCAAGGGGUACUGAACUUUGACCCGGCAAGCCGCCCCGGAACUAAGCGUCAUACGGUUUCAGCUACGCCGGAGUUAGCUUGAGAGCAGGCAAGCUGUUGCGGAACAGGAUAUCGAUGGAGCUACCCCCGUCAACGAGCACACGCUCGAACCUGACGCUGUUGAUGCACGGGUCCAGGAUCAACGGGAAGCGCCCUGGUUCUAGGAUGGCGGCCCACUGGUCCUGCCUGUUGAAGGAAAUCUCUCAGUGCAACCAGGGAGGGAAUUUAGGAUCGGCGAUCAAACCAUCAGCGCUGUCCACAUUAAGGCAUGCCCGCUUCAAGAGCUUUCUUUCUCGUUUUGACUCAAUGGAGACUUUGUCUCCAAAGAUGGAGUGUACCACGUCGGUGGGACUGACAUAUUGGUGCCGUGGGUCCCUAUCCUGGUCAUCGUCUUCGUCUUCCUGACUCCGUCUGUCCUGUUUCCCGUUUUUCUUGGCGGCAUCUCCCUAUGUGGUCCGCUGUGUGUAGAUGCUUUUGAGGACACAACAUUCUUCCAUCGUGUGGUUGGACUUUGGAUGGAGUUGUCACGGUCCUUUCAGCAUCUUGUUGUAGUCUUCCCGGUAGUCUCGUCGUCCAUUGGGACACUUGACUAUGUUCACCUCGUGAUCGUUGUCGCAAGGUCGCUUGCCUCUGAAAUCGUCACGAUUUUCACGACGCCUGUCCCACCCUUCUCGGUGGUCGCGGUUGUCACCGCGGCGAGGAUUCCGGUUGUCAAAAUGCCCACGGCUGUCGUCUCGGCGGGGAGGCUGCUCGGCUCCUCUUACAUCUUCUCGGAUGAGCUUUUCUGCGUCGUCGGCGUCGGCGUAGUUUUUGGCCGUGGUGAGGAGCUCGGCGACCGUGGUCGGCCUUUUGCGCAGUAGCUUGCUUCUUAAUGCUUCGUGGAAGCGUAGGCCCUUGAUGAAGACCGAUAUGGCCUCGUCAUGAGAAAUCUUCGGAAUCUUGAGGCGCAUAUCCGAGAAGCGUCGGAUGUAAUCGCGCAAGGGCUCAUUCUUCCUGUCCCUUAUCCUCUCGAGAUCGUAUUUGUUUCUAGGCUGCUCGCAGGUAGCAAUGAAAUUAUCAAUAAACGCCUGGCGUAAUUCCUCCCAAGAAUCGAAAGAGUCUUCGAGUAGACCAAGGAGCCAUUGGUGGCCAGCUUGGUCGAGGACGAGUGGGAAGUAAUUUGCCAUGACGUGCUCGUCCCCUACUGCUGAUCGGACUGCGAUCUCGUAAAGAGUGAUCCAGUUUUCGGGAUUCUCCUUGCCAUCGUACUUUUUAAGCUUCUCAAGCUUGAAGUUGCGGGGCCAUACGACUUGGCGAAGGUGUGAGGAGAACUGUUUUAGGCCGGGGGGGCCAUGUGCUGCAUCGUACUCGAUGCGUCGCACGUUUUCGUGUACUGCUCGUUCUGUAAUGCGCCUGUUGAUGCGCUCGCGGACAUCCUUAGGAGGGAUGUUGUGUCGUAGAUCUCGGUCUUGGUUCACCUCCUGACCAUGUCUGCGUCUUUGUUCGUGGUAACUGUCAGCGUCCCGACCACGAUUGUCGCGAUGGGUGUCCUUCCUUUGAUUAUUGAUAGGUGAACGGCUACGACGGUGUCCACCGGGUCACGGUGAGGUGCGGCUGCGAUGAGUCUGGUCAGAGGUGACCUCCGUAUAGGAGACGGCUUGGACCCUUUUGAGCAGAGUAGCGGUCUGUCCUAUGGUCGCGAUCAGAUGCGCUCGUAUGUUGGUACGAACGUCCUGAUAUUCUGGAGUAUCCGGAAGUCGAUCAAGAUUUGCCAUGGCGACGGCCACGUUGGCACUUGGUGUCUUGAACACUUGCUGAUUUCCAACCAUGUCAAAAGCAUCGUCAAGGUUGUUUGGAGUUAAUUGCCGCUCCUCAUCUGCUCGCCGCUGAGCACGAUCGGCGUUGCGCUGUUCGUGCUGUUGUCUUUGUUCGUCGGUUUCGCCGUUAACAACUGGUUCGUCAUUGCUGACGUUGAAAACCAGAUCUCCUCGUCGAGGUGGAAAGACGGGAAAGCGAGAAAAACCCGGGGGUAAGGUGGUAGAUCCAAGCAGUAGUCUUCGUCCUCGUGGUGUAAAAUCUCGGUAGGGACAGAUCCUGUGCUAGAGUUUGUGUUGGUGGCCUUGUCGUCUGGUAGAGUUCGGAUGGAUACCAUGUUGACAAAGUGACGAGCUGACCUACUGGUUUGCCCCGGCGACAAUCCCAUCUUCCCGAAUAGAGAAUCGGUAUGCCGCGAAAAUUGAUUAGCCGCGUUGCUCAGACCAUGAGGGAAGUUUUGGUCUGGUGAGGCUGUCUUGAACUUGACAGUCCGUCCCGCGGUGGUCGAUGUUAUCGUCAAGAAUGUCUCCAGUCGUUCGUGCGUGGUGACACGAGUUGGUCGAUGGGAGUCGAAAAAAAUUUGAAGUUGCCGCUUGAUCGGGCUUGCGUGAAAUCGAAUCCACCAGGUUGGAGGCUUCGAGAAGUUUGUGGUCGGCGCGAUCGAGGGCUUGAAGAAGAUCCGAGUUGUCGACUCGCUUUGCCUUGUAGCGAGGGAGCGGAGGUCGGGCCCUCGGGGUCGGCGUGAUCGGAGUCGACGCCUUUGUUGUCCCAGAUUGGAUCUGAGUUUCUUCCAGAGUCGUGGUCGUAAGGCCGCCGUCGCGAGUUGUCCAAGUGAUCUGCCCAACAGUGAACGUGAGGCCUUCAGCCACGGCCGCGGAAGUUGGGAUGAUGACCAUCUUGUUCGUCUGGGAAGCUGUACGCACACCCCCUACCUGGCGCGCCACUGUCGACGAAAGCUAGUCGGCAGUCUACCCUAGGGUAUACCCACGGUUGUAGUUUAUCGGCAGACAGGUGUGCAAGCUACGAACUUGAUGGUGACGCAAGACACGGACAAGGUUUUUAUCCAGGUUCGGCUGCCGUGUGGGCGUAAUACCUACGUCCUGCGUCUGAUUGUAUUGGAUUGUGUUGAGUUGAGAUGAAUUGUCUUAGGGGGGUCCCUUGCCUCUCCUUAUAUAGUUCAGAGGACAGGGUUACAGAUCUGGAAACUAAUCCUAGUCGGUUACAAUUGCCAUAGAUGACACGAUAUCAAUUCCUAUUCUAACCGACUAGAAUCUGGUUUGAUCUCCACGUCUUGUUUCCUUGCGCGAAACUCCGAGCAGCUGGAUCAAGCCUCGAACUCGUCUCGUAAUGGGCCAAGCCUCCUAGCCCAAGUCUGGCCGUAAGGGUAUAGGGGUUUAUACCCCCACAGGAUUCAUAUGAAACUACAAGCACGGGACCUUAACUGUUUAUGGAGUGGGGUUCAUUUGGCUGAUAAGUCAUAACAAAAAGUAUAGUAGACUGAUAAGCUCAAACGAACAAGCUAAGGUGAAUGACCACCGUCAGGUCAAUUAAAAAACCAGACAGUAAUGUCAUUAUGUCGCUGCCAGGUUAAGUACGAUCAGGUAUUGGUAUAUCAUUGCCGGGUUAAAGUUCCACCGGACAGUAAUAGGUGUCAUCACUGUUGGGUCUCUAGGAUCCACAAUCAUUUGCCGAAUUCUAGUUCAUAUGACCGACCGCACAGGUCCUGUCUCCGCACUUGAAUAUGGACAAGCACAGACAAGAAGGUACGUCGGCUGGAAAUGCCUUUAUAACUGGUACUCCAAAGAGAUGCUGAUGUGUGACUGCUUGCUCGCUGUUAUGAACUACGUAUAUGGCACCUUUUUGUAUUGCCAAUUUUUUGCUAUAUUCGAUCGUUUGUGAGAGACAGCUACAUGGCAUGCCAUAUUAUUGGUUCAUUGUAAAAGAAAGAUAGAGGCAUAGGAAAGUUGUAAUACAAUCUGAUAAGGGUCUUUGUCCUCCCCCCCCCCCCCUCCCCACCACACACACACCACACACACCCCAAUUUAUUUUCUACUGUGUUAUCUUGCACUACUAACGGACAAUGGCUGCAGCACCGGUCUUGACAUUAGAUUAAAAUCCAUACAUCUACUAAGAAUUUAGACUUACUUUCUCCGUCCACGAAAGAAUCAAUUUCUAAAACCUGUACUAGUCAAAUUUUGUUAAGUUUGACUAACUUUAUAGAAAAGAGUAACAACAUCUAUGAAAUGUGCAUCAUAUGAAAAUAUAUUCUAUGAUGAAUCUAAUGAUACUAAUUUGAUACCAUAAAUCUUAACAUUUUUUUUCUAGAAAUUUAGUCAAAGUUUAAAAAAAUUGACUUAAGAUAACUCUAAAAAUUGAUUCUUUCAUGUACGGAGCGAGCAAUUCAUUUCUAAUCAAUUCAGCACUUUUUUCUCCAGUCUAGCAUCGUCUUGUUCGUUGUUUUUUUAAAAAACAAACAAAUUAGGCCAGAGAUCAGCUCCUGCCGAUUAUAUUAAAAAGAAGAAGCCCACAUUGGUAAUACAACAAUGCAACAUCAACAAACCUAAGACAAGUGAACGGCGACGAAACCAACGACAAAGAAAGCAACUACCAAGGUAAACAACAAGGCAACAUUAACUAAACUGACAACAUUAACAACGAAGCGAAGAGGAAAAGAGAUCCCCGUCACAAGAUCUCAGAAAGCACGACCUUUUGUACACAUGAGAGCAAGUCCACUCAUACAAUAUUUAGCUAUUCACUAUUAAUACAUGGCCCACUUAUCUCUCUCAUAAAGUUUCUUGGUUUUUGUGUCUAAGCUGGCUGUAAGCUUAUUACAGCCUGCUUCUCCUCUCUCUCCUCCCUUCUCUCCUCCACAUCAGCAUUUAGCCAGCUUACAGUCCACCAUAAUACUGAGUGACUCAAGUGACUCAAGGAGGUCUGCUGGCAAUAGUUCUUUCACACACAUAUUUUUGAAUUGCAUCAUCAUUGAGCUCCUUGUCAUUCCUAACAAUCCCCAACUCUGCAUAUUUGUUGCUUUUCUGGGUAUACCACUGUGUCCAUAUUAUUCUUACGUGCACGUAUACAAGUGAGGGGAUCAUUCAUUAGAAUCAUGAGCAUCUUGUGUCGAUUUGAUAUAAUCCAUUCUGAUCUUCUUCAGUGUCACCACCACAUUGCUCAUUGUCGUUCUGUGCUCAGGCGACUCAGACAAGCAGAACAACCCCAACUGAAACACUGCCACAAGAAAGCCAUCCAGAUUACUGGUACAACAAGAGCCAUCAUGACCAUGUAGUAGACCAUCAUCCACCACGUCAACAAGAUGUCCGGGAAAUGCUUGAUGGACCCACUGCCUGAUGCUCAAUUCUCCAACGAACAUACCAUCUGUGGGUCUCUUCCCUGUGAACACUUCAAGUAGCAUGAUCCCAUAGCUGAACACGUCGCUCAUCCAUGAUGCCUUUCCAAGAGAACCGUACUCUGCUCAUCAAGAAAUCAUAGGUAUAAAAGUUGUAGCAUGAAUAAUCGUCAAUAAUUUUUUUAAGACACGAUCGAUGACCAGGCAAUUAACAAAAUUGAUUUAAUUAGUAGAGUAUAACAGCAGCAACAAGUACCUGGUGCCAUGUACCCAACUGUUCCAGGCAUGCUUGCAGAGAUCAUGGAACUAUCACCACCAAGCAGCAACCUUGCAAUCCCAAAAUCCGCCACAUGUGCAGUCAUGUCCUCAUCAAAUAGUAUGUUGCUAGUGUUGAAGUGUUCUAAAUUCAACGUGAUGCUUUCUCUAUGAAUAGCAUAUGUGCGUGAAGGAAUUGCAUGCACAUUGUAUGGCUAUGGUUGACAAAAGAAAUGUGGUUGCAUGACAUUCGCAAGGUCAUGGUCUUCAAGAGAGAUGCGUGAUCUUCGUCACACUCCUUGCGCACAGCCAUGGAGUAAUAUUGUUGGAUGGCAUGCAUAGGCUAUGAAUAGUCAUUUGCUCAGAAUAGAGUUCCACCAAGAUGACUAUAUAUUUCAUUCUCUUGUAAGCCACCGCAUGGUGUUGUAACUUGUAACCCGACACUUGAAAAUAGUAAGAAGAGUUGCUGGCUGGCGCCCGUGGUUUUUUCCCUUCGCAUUGGAGGGGUUUUCCACGUAAAUCGUGUGUCUCCGCUGUGAUUGAUUUCGUUUACUUUAUAUUUCUAUACGUCGAUUUCUAACAAGUGGUACCAGAGCUUUGGUUGCUAUUAGGGUUCAUGUCGACGUCGAUGAAGUUCGAUCUUCCGCUGUUGAACUACGACACACGGUUCUCGCUAUGGCAAGUCAAGAUGCGGGGGAUUCUGGCGCAGACUCAUGACUAUGAUGAGGCGCUGGAUAAUUUCGGCAAGAGGAAGGCCGAGUGGACUCCUGAGGAGACCCGCAAGGAUCAGAAGGCGCUCGCACUAAUCCAGCUAUAUCUUCAUAAUGAUAUUUUGCAGGAGUGUUUGAAGGAGAAAACUUCUGCAGAACUAUGGCUGAAACUGGAACCGAUCUGUAGGUCCAAGGAUUUAACCAGUAAGAUGCAGAUGAAGAUGAAGCUGUUCACUCUAAAGAUGAAGGAGGAGGAUUCGGUGAUGACCCACAUCGCUGAAUUCAAGAAGAUUGUGGCUGAUCUAGUGUCGAUGGAGGUGAAGUAUGAUGAUGAGGACUUAGGUCUUUUACUUCUAUGUUCAUUGCCAAAUUCGUAUGCAAAUUUCCGUGACACCAUACUUUUAAGCCGUGAUGAACUAACCCUAAAGGAAGUUUAUGAGGCUCUCCAGUCUAGGGAGAAGAUGAAAGGCAUGGUGCAGUAUGACGGGUCGUCGUCCUCCAAGGGCGAAGCUUUGCAUGUGAGAGGCAGAUCAGAGCAUAGAUACUCCAAUGAUAGUCGUGACAAGAGCUACGAUGGAGAGGCCGUUCAAAGUCCAAGCCGCCUGGUAAUAAAAAAUUCUAUGUUUACUGCAAGUUGAAAAAUCAUAAUGUUGAGGACUGCAGAAAACUAAAGAAUAAGGAGAAGAAAAACAACAAGUCGGCUGGUAAGGUCUCUAUUGUUGCUGCUGCUGCUUCUGAUGAUGAUUCUGGAGAUUGUCUGGUAGUAUUUGCUGGUUGUGUUGCAAGUCAUGAUGAAUGGAUUCUUGAUUCCGCAUGUUCAUUUCAUAUUUGCACUAACAGAAAUUGGUUUAGUUCAUAUGAGCCUGUGCAGAAAGGGAAUGUUGUGCGGAUGGGAGAUGAUAACCCAUGUGAGAUCGUGGGAAUAGGAUCAGUUCAGAUCAAGACUGAUGAUGGCAUGACACGCAUACUGAAGAAUGUCAGGUAUAUUCUAGGGAUGUCUAGAAAUCUUAUCUCAUUGAGCACGCUAGAUGCAGAAGGUUACAAAUAUUCCGGUUCAAAUGGCGUUCUAAAGGUAUCUAAAGGUUCUCUUGUUUGCCUAAAAGGUGAUAUGAAUUCUGCACAUUUAUAUGUCCUUAGAGGGUGUACUUUACCUGGUUCUGAUUCUAUUGCUUCCGCUGUUACUAAUGAUGAACAUAGUAAAACUAACCUUUGGCAUAUGCGUUUGAGACAUAUGAGUAAACUUGGUAUGGCAGAAUUGGUGAAGAGAAACUUGUUGAAGGGCUGCACUCCGAGUAACAUGAAAUUUUGUGAGUAUUGUAUUUUCGGGAAGCAUAAAAGGGUACACUUUAACACUUCGGUUCACACCACAAAAGGUACUCUUGAUUAUGUUCAUACUGAUUUGUGGGGUCCUUCUAAGAAGCCCUCACUUGGUGGUGCUCGUUAUAUGCUUACAAUUAUUGAUGAUUACUCUAGAAGGGUUUGGCCUUAUUUUCUGAAACAUAAAGAUGAUACUUUUGAUGCUUUUAAGAACUGGAAAGUAAUGAUAGAAAGGCAAACUGAAAGGAAGGUAAAAUUGCUUCGUACUGAUAAUGGUGGAGAAUUUUGUUCGUAUGCCUUUAAUGAUUAUUGCAAACAGGAAGGUAUUGUUCGGCAUCACACCAUACCCCAUACUCCACAUCAGAAUGGUGUGGCUGAACGUAUGAAUAGAACCAUCAUAUCCAAGGCCCGUUGCAUGCUGUCUAAUGCCACGAUGAGCAAGCAGUUUUGGGCUGAAGCUGCAAAUACUGCCUGUUACUUGAUAAACAGGUCGCCUUCUAUUCCACUUAAUAAGAAAACUCCUAUUGAGGUAUGGUCUGGUACACCUGCAGAUUAUUCACAGUUGAAAGUUUUUGGAUGCACUCCUUAUGCUCAUGUUGAUAAUGGAAAAUUAGAGCCUAGAGCUGUUAAGUGUCUUUUUCUUGGUUAUAGCUCGGGAGUCAAGGGUUAUAAACUGUGGAAUCCCGAUACAGGAAAGACUUUUAUGAGCAGAAGUGUUGUUUUCAACGAAUCUGUGAUGUUUACUGACAAUUUGCCCUCAGAUCAUGUUCCAAAAACAGAGCUGCAGUGUAUGCGCAUGCAGGUGGAGCAUGUUGAUGAUGAUAUACACAUACAGGUGGAGCAUGUUGAUGAGCAUGAUGACCAUGCUAAUGAUGUUGCUGAUGAUGAUGCUCAUGAUGAUGUUCAGCAAACUCCUAUUUUGCAGCAAGAGGAGGAUUUACCUAUUGCUCAAAGCAAGUCAAAAAGGACAGUUGUACCUCCCAAACGUCUCAUUGAAGAAUGUAAUUUGUCUUACUAUGCUUUGAGUUGUGCUGAACAGGUGGAGAAUGUUCAUGAGCCAGCAACCUACAAAGAGGCUGUUCGUUGUGGUGAUAGUGAAAAUUGGAUUUCUGCUAUGCAUGAGGAGAUGUAGUCUCUUGAGAAGAACAGUACAUGGGAGGUAGUACCUUUGCCUAAGAAAGAGAAGACCAUCAACUGCAAAUGGAUCUUCAAGAGAAAGGAGGGUUUAUCUCCAAGUGAGCCUCCAAAGUACAAGGCAAGGUUAGUAGCCAAAGGAUAUAGUCAAAUUCUGGGUGUUGACUAUAAUGAUGUAUUCUCUCCAGUGGUAAAACGUAGUUCAAUUCGUACUUUCCUAAGUAUUGUUGCUUCACAUGAUCUUGAGCUUGAGCAGUUAGAUGUGAAGACUGCGUUUUUACAUGGAGAGCUUGAGGAGGACAUAUACAUGGACCAACCGGAAGGGUUCAUAGUGCCUGGCAAGGAGAAAUAUGUGUGCAAGUUGAAGCGAUCCUUGUAUGGUUUGAAACAGUCCCCUCGUCAGUGGAACAAGAGGUUUGAUUCAUUUAUGUUGUCACACAGUUUUAAAAGAUCUAAAUAUGAUAGUUGUGUAUACAUCAAGCAUGUUAAUGGAUCACCUAUAUAUUUGUUGUUAUAUGUUGAUGAUAUGUUGAUUGCUGCCAAGCGUAAGAUUGAAAUCACUAGGUUAAAGAAGUUAUUGAGUAGUGAGUUUGAUAUGAAAGAUCUUGGUAGUGCUAAGAAAAUUCUUGGUAUGGAAAUUAGUAGAGACAGAAAAUCUGGUUUGCUAUUUCUAAGUCAACAAAAUUAUAUCAAGAAAGUUCUUCAGCGUUUCAACAUGCAGAAUGCUAAGGCUGUUAGUACCCCUAUUGCACCUCAAUUUAAGUUGUCAGCUGCUCAGUGUCCUAGUACAGAUGCAGAGACUGAUUACAUGUCAAGGGUUCCAUAUUCUAGUGCUGUUGGGUCUUUGAUGUAUGCCAUGAUUUGCUCUCGUCCAAAUUUAUCAUAUGCUAUGAGUCUUGUUAGCAGAUAUAUGUCUAAUCCUGGUAAAGAACAUUGGAGGGCAGUUCAGUAGAUUUUCACGUACCUCAGAGGCACAGCAGAUUCCAGUUUGAAGUUUGGAAGAACUGAUAAGGGUCUCAUUGGUUAUGUGGAUUCAGAUUAUGCUGCUGAUCUGGACAGGCGAAGAUCACUUACAGGUUAUAUGUUUACUGUUGACAGUUGUGCUGUGAGUUGGAGGGCUACUUUACAGUCUGUUGUUGCUUUGUCUACUACUGAAGCAGAAUAUAUGGCUAUUUGUGAAGCGUGCAAAGAAUUAAUUUGGCUAAAAGGUUUGUACGCUGAGCUGUGUGGAGUUGAAUCUUGCAUAAGUUUGCAUUGUGAUAGUCAAAGUGCAAUUUACCUCACUAAAGAUCAGAUAUUCCAUGAGAGAACUAAGCACAUUGAUAUCAAGUAUCAUUUUGUGCGUGAUGUGAUUGAAGAAGGUAAGCUGAAGGUAUGCAAGAUCAGUACUCAUGAUAAUCCUGCUGAUAUGAUGACUAAACCUGUCCCUGUUGCUAAGUUUGAGCUGUGCUCAAGCUUAGUUGGUUUAGUGGAUUAGCCUAAGAGGCUAUUUGGCGCUAGCAAUAUUUUUCUAUGUUAUGUUCAAGAUGAAGGUGUUGAUUUAUGAUACAAGAUGAAUUUGUCUCAAGGUGGAGUUUGUUGAAGUGUUCCAAAUUCAACGUGAUGCUUUCUCUAUGAAUAGCAUAUGUGCGUGAAGGAAUUGCAUGCACAUUGUAUGGCUAUGGUUGGCAAAAGAAAUGUGGUUGCAUGACAUUCGCAAGGUCAUGGUCUUCAAGAGAGAUGCGUGAUCUUCGUCACACUCCUUGCGCACAGCCAUGAAGUAAUAUUGUUGGAUGGCAUGCAUAGGCUAUGAAUAGUCAUUUGCUCAGAAUAGAGUUCCACCAAGAUGACUAUAUAUUUCAUUCUCUUGUAAGCCACCGCAUGGUGUUGUAACUUGUAACCCGACACUUGAAAAUAGUGAGAAGAGUUGAUGGCUGGCGCCCGUGGUUUUUCCCCUUCGCAUUGGAGGGGUUUUCCACGUAAAUCGUGUGUCUCCGCUGUGAUUGAUUUCGUUUACUUUAUAUUUCUAUACGUCGAUUUCUAACAGCUAGGCUUCAAAUCGCAGUGUAGAACCACCUCACAGUGCUCAUGGUGUAGAUACUCCAUUGCCAUCGACACAUCUAGCAUGAUGUUCAGCCUCUCGAGAAACCUCAAAUGCAUACGUCCUUCAGAGUGCAGGAGCGCCUCUAAGCUCCCAUUGGACAUGUAUUGAAGCACCAGGGCUCUGAAGUCUAGGUUAGAACAAGUGUUGAGUAUCUUUAUCAGGUUGUGAUGCCGAGCCAUCCGAAGCACAUGGCAUUCAGCAUCAAAGCUUGCAAAGGCUUGAUCCAAAUGCUUGUGUAUAACUUUUACGGCAACCACCAAAUCAUCACUCAGCUGGCCCUUAUAAACUUUCCCAAAGCUUCCAGAGCCUAACAUGUUGCCCUCACUGAAUUUUUCAGUGGCACGAACCAGCUCAUGGUAGGAGACUAAGACUAACAGAUGGUUAUCGAUCAUGCAUGACGUCAACCAUACCAGCAGAACUUCCUUGACGAUGCUUCCUAGCUUUCUUGGUCACCAUUACACAUAGGCAGGAAGUGAAAGCGAGAGCUCCAACAGCUAUGACAAUUGCAGUUGGAAGCAAAUAUGUUAGCAAGUGGCGGUUGCGUCUGGGAGAUUUGGUUCGGCAUGGUGGAAACCCUAAGCAGGAAGCGCCACCACAUAGUAGUCCGGAGUUCCCCACCAAGGACUCCAGAGUGAUGUUUGAGAAUACACCUCUUUCUGGUAUAUGACCUUGCAGCUUAUUGUAGGACAAAUCUAAACUAGAGAGGAUGGAAAAAUUGGCCAAGUACUCCGGGAUUGUGCCAGAAAUAUUGUUAUGGGACAGGUCCAGAAUAUGCAAGUUCGUUAGUUUGUUCAAUGAGUUGGGAAUCGUGCCAUUGAAUGAAUUGACUGAUAGGUUCAAAUGUGUUAUCAUCUGAAUUUUCCCUAUUGAAUCUGGGAGACUUCCACCAAAGCGAUUGACUGAGAAAUCAAUAGCAUCAAUCUGCUUAGCUUAUAUCAACUGGUAAUAUACCACUCAACAAGUUUUGAGAUAGAUCUAGCUGGAGGAGGUUAUCAAGAUGGAAUAAGCUCAGCGGUACAACCGAUGUUAACUUGUUAUCAAAUAAGAAUAGGUACUCUAACUUGGUGAGGUUACCAAUGCCCUUGGGCAUGGAGCUAGAAAAUUCGUUGCUUUGAAGGUAUAACAUCACUAUAUAUAUUAGCUAACAUUCCAAUAUUUGAGGGCAUGGAGCCAGAGAAUCUAUUUUGACCAAGCUGGAGCAAUUGGAGACUGUUUAUUAUCAUGAUUGGCUCUGGAAUGGAACAAUGCAACUGGUUACCAUUAAGAUCUAGAUCAAGCAAAGAAGUUAAAUUCGAAAUGGCAGCUGGAAUCUCACCAGUUAACUUGUUGUCACGUGCAAUGAAGUAUUGCAACUUGGUUGAUAGGUUCCCCACAAAACCUGGAAGGCUCCCAGUGAAAUAAUUCCAAUGAAUUUCAAGGAGGAUCAUGACAAGUGGAAAUAUAUCUGGAACUCGAAAGAUUUCUCGGUGAAGAAAACCUACAAGCAUCUUAGUGGAAACCAGAGAGUACACCCUGCCUACAACUGGUUGUGGGCAUCGGCCUGUCAGUGCAAACAUAAAGUAUUUUUUUGGCUGCUAAUGAAGGACAGAAUAAGUACCAGGGAAUUGCUCAAAAGGAAGAAUAUGGUCCUUCAAGAUUUUACCUGUGUUCUGUGCAAUAACAAUACAGAAGAGUCUUUGCUCCAUCUUUUCCUUGAGUGCCCAUUUGCGGCCCAGUGUUGGGGUGCAAUCAACAUCCACAUAGCUCAAUAUCCAGACCCCUUCGAGUUUCUGCUGAGCUUCAGGAACCAGCUUGGAGUUCCUUUCUUCAUGGAAAUAAUAAUUCUAAUGGCUUGGUCAAUUUGGAAGUCGAGGAAUGAUCAAAUUUUUAGACAAUUGCAGCCAUCCUUACUUGGGGCCAAGCAUUCCUUCAAAGAAGAGUUUCAGCUGCUGCUUCUUAGACUAAGGAAGGACUACCUCCCCCUUGCUGAACAAUGGAUAGCAAAUCUAGCUUAGCUGUUCUUUUUGCAGUUUUAACACUGCUUUUCUUAGUAUCUUUUUUUGUUUCUUGAGCCCCCGGUGUUUAGGCUCACUAGGACCACUAGGAUCACUGGUUUCUGUUUUGCUCCUUUCUUGUACUGUUCACAAACCCUUCUUUUAAUAAAUGCUGUAGGGGUGAAAGCCCCUCCAGUUUAGUUCAAAAAAAAAAAGGUCCAGCAGAUUUCUGCAGUUGGAAAGAGCAGACAAGAACUCUAGAUCACCCUGCAAGAACCUGAAGGUACCGACACGUUGCUAGUCCAAUUGGAAUUUUACCAGUGAAACUAUUAGAGGAGACUGAGAACCACUGCAGAAGUGGCAGGUUGAAGCUUUGGUUGCCCAGGAUUGGUCCGGUCAAGCCGUUCAUGGCUAGAGCAACAAGACCCAGUGUAGAAAUAUAAUGUUGUAGAUGCCUGGCAGCGCAACCCCGUAAGAUUGUUCACUUGCAGGUUCAGGUAUUGGAGCACUUGUAAGGAACCUAUGCAACCAGGUAUCGGCCCUGAAAGGCUGUUGUUGCCGAUGUUCAGAUAAGUUAGCAAAUGUGUGUUGUUGAAUAGAUGAACCGGAAUUGGGCCUGUGAGACCAUUCCGGCGGAGAUUGAUGCUGCCAAGGCUGUGCAGGCCCUGCAGCUCUGUCGGAAUCGGACCAAACAGCUGGUUGAACUCGAGGUCGAGAAUUUGGAGCCUCGUGAGGUUUCCUAAAGUGGCUGGGAUGCCACAGACAGAGCAUUGCAGCCAAGAUCAAGGAGCUUGAGGCGACACAGCCUUCCGAUCUCGCUUGGGAUUGCACCGGCGAGGCUGGUGUUGGUGAGAUUGAGCACAGAGAGGAAAGAGAGGUUACCGAGGUGAGGGCUGAGCACUCCCUGGAGGGCAACACCCGGUAACUCUACAGCGGUCACGCGCCGCCGGUGCCUACUGCACGAGGACGCCAACCCAGUAGCAGAACAGCGUGCCGGUGGUCCAGUUCCUGCCAAGGACGCCGAGAGGAUCCGAGAGCUGGGCCUUGAAAGCCAGCAGCUCAAUGCCGUCGGAGCUGCUCCCGUUCAGAUGAACUGGAGAUGGAGAUGCAGCACGACCAUGCACAGUGGACAAGGCGAUCAACAGAAUGAUGGGUAUGCAAGCUAGAAACCCAAGCGCCAUGGUUUUGGGACUUUAGUUCUGGGCUGGGUGCCAAGCAUUGGCCACAAGAGAGCUUUAAUAAUUUACUUCACUCAAGGCCAUGUACCUGAAUGCAAAAGCAACUGCUGCUUUCAAUGGCGAAGACUACUGCUCAGCAAGUGUGCAUGAAACAUUGACUGGAUCAACAAUAAACAGUUUCACCUUUGACAAAAGAGACCACCACAAUAACACUAGUCAAAAAGAGUAGAUUGUAGGUACUCAGCCCUAUUUGGUUGGUCGUGGUAAAGUUUACCGCCUACCACAUUGAAUGUUUGAACACAUGCAUGAAAUACUAAAUAUAGACUAUUUAUUAAACUAAAAACACAGCUAGAGAGUAAUUUACGAGAUAAAUUUUUUGAGCCUAAUUAGUCCAUGAUUGGACACUAAUUGUCAAAUAAAAUAAAAAUAUAACCGUACCUGUUAAACUUUAACAACAUUGAAUCUCCAACCAAACACCCCCUAGUACAUGAUAUGGAGAUCAAAGUUGACGGACUGCUAGUGGGGAUAUUGUGUACUUGUUCUCCAUGGCUGCCCUUGGGAGCGUCGCCGCCGUGCUGUACUCCAUGGCAGGCGUGGAGGUGCUGCAGUCAUGCGGCCAAGGCAAGCUUGGGACGACCAUGGCGAGUGGGCCACACGGGCGACACUGGACGUUGGGGGCAUGGGGAGGCGGGCGAGCGUGGGAGAGCUAGCACAGAGGGGCUCGCUGUCGAUGGGAGGGGUCGCGGGUGUUGGUGGCUAUGGCGCUGCCGUGGGGGUGGAGAAGAAGCGCUCGAUCCGUUUUGUGCGAGCCCGUUCCGUCCAAGCGUGCAUCUACGAAAGGAAAAGGAAAGGGCAAGGGUAAAUGAGGCCUUGUUUAGUUCUAAAAAAUUUUGCAAAAUUUUUUAGAUUCCCUGUCAUAUCGAAUCUUUAGACGCAUGCAUAGAGUAUUAAAUAUAGACGAAAAUAAAAACUAAUUGCAUAGUUUGGUCGGAAUUGAUGAGAUGAAUCUUGUGAGCCUAGUUAGUACAUAAUUGGACAAUAUUUGUCACAAACAAACGAAAGUGCUACAGUACCUAUUUUGCAAAAUUUUUUGGAACUAAACAAGGCCUGAGUCACAAAAUUUCGUUUAAGGGCAUCAGAUGGCAUUCUAGCGGGCGUGUUUUAUAAUGGCAAGCUAGCAAAGCCCCAUUGUGGGAUAAUAUAUCACCGAAACUCAUUUUUCAUAAUGGUCGUGUCGAACAAGCAGCAAAGGGAACAAAGCUGACCACUAGGCUGUUUCUUGUGACCUUGUGGGCAGCUCAGCCGUGGGCUUCUGGCCCAAUUAAACAAUUGGAUGUACAUGUAUAUACUGUGUAUAUUGGUUAGCAAAUGUCUAACUCACUCAAAGAAAAAUAUAUACUAUGUAUAUGUUGCUCAAAAAUUAUGUAUACUAUGUAUAAUUAUUUUUUCUCCUAAAAAAUAUAAGUUUAUUUUCCUUACUAGCAAAUCCACCUUGAGUAUUCCAUACAAUACAGGGGAAUAUCCCUUUCAUCACUCAUGCACGAUAGUAGUUGGGCCCCAAGGGCCAGAAUAAAAUCUUAGAACAUCUUCAAAAGACUCUCUAUACCUUUUCUUAUUGACAUAAAUAGAGAUUUUGAUGAAAAAUAUUAUCCACUAGUUUCUUUUGUUAGAUAUUCAAAUAUUGUCAUCCUGCAUUUUGGACUUUCUUUGCUAGCCAAAGUUAGAGGGUGAGCUUGGCUCUCUAGAAUGCGCCAGGAUAGAAAUCUAUUGGAGAGCAAAAAGAUAUAAAAAUGAAAUUUACUCAAAUAGCUCUCCAAGUGAUGAUUUAAACAAUGAGAUUAAGAGAGAUCCUUGAAAAUGCUCUAGCAACUGUUGGUGGCUGGAUAAAUGUGUUAUUUUUGAUCCAUAUGCUACCUAUAUGACUGGGUGUUUUGUUUGGAUCCACAUGUCAAAAGGUGAAUGUAUUGAUGGAAUGACGACGGUUUCUACAAUGCCCUUCCUCUUAUAUUGUGACAUUAGUAGGCGGGAGGGCAAAAGUAUCUUUUGCAAUUUAUAGUUGUUAUUAGCUGAGUUGGAAUAACUAAUGAGAUAUUUGUUAACUAGGUAUCCAACUAACAAUUAGCUGCUUUCAUUUAGAUUCACCCUAGUUGAUUUUUAGCUGGUUGUAUCUGCUAAAGAGGUCAUAAUGAAGUUGAUGGAACGUGGACAUGAAAUUAUAAUGGGGAGAGAGAUAGGGGAACAUAAAAAAUGAAGAACUUGAGAGCCAUAGCACUUGCAUAGCAAAGGGUACUCACUUAGGCCUGGCCAGUCAGUGAGGAGCUUUGUGAUAUUAUUUCUAAGAUUCUUAUCAUAUAUCAUGAAAUGAAACACCCAUCAAUAAAAAAAAGUUUCACUCUAUGGUUUUAUAAAUGUUUAAUUCCAUAACUCGUAGAGAGUUGUAUCUAGAUGAAAGUCACUUCUCUCUCUCUCUUUUAAAAAUAUUGCUAUGUCAGCAAAAAUACUUAUAUUAUAGUCUACUAAAUGCGGAUGAGACUCACAUGAAACUGCCCACUACGAUUGGCCUUAUGUGGCAACUCUCCUCCGUUAAUGUCCAGUAAUACCCUCUAAAUUAGGGCUGCAAGUUACCUAAGUAUUGGCGGACUAUAUUUUCUAAGGUUCAGUAAUAGCCCUAAAUCUUAGCCACUAGCUACUUGUUUUAUGAUAUUUGGAACCAGUUAGUCAUUGCCUCAUUGGAUCAUCCAAUUCUCUCACACUGCUCUCUCUCUCUCUUCUUCCUCUUUUAUCAUCUCUUAUCUGCCACACUUUCUCCUCACAUGGUUGCGCUCUUUUCCUAUUGUUUCCUCGGUUCCUCCUAUGGCACCUAUUGAGAACCUCAUGAUAUAUGUGGCCUAAAAACAUCUUCAACAUCCCCUUUCCCCUUUUACUUAUUUUUUAUAGGGAUCACGAAAAUUGAAUUAUAGGUUAUAGGGGAAGAAAAAUCCAUCACCUUUAUUUAUAUAGGACCCACAUGUCAGUGACACACCUCUCAUUUCUUCCUUCUUUUCUCUUUUUCCUCUCCCUUCCUCUCUGAGUGCUCGUCUAGCGCCCUAAAUGCUCGGGUCAGCGGCACAGUUGGUCCGAGCAAAUGCCCACCGGCUGCAGUGGGUGGUGCGGCCAGCACGAGCGCGCUCCUGCCGGCACAAUAGUGGAUUGGCAGCUUAUGCCCUCGCCCAACUAGCACGGUAGUGGUUUUCAACGUCCCACACACUCGCAGCAGCGGCCCACAUGUCCAUGGUGGUGACGCAGCUCCACCCAUCUUGGGGGGCCAUGUCAUCGAAGGAGGAAAAAAGGAUUGAGAAAAUGGUGGCAGAUCCCCUUCAUUUGAGAUUAAGGUGGUAUUUUGAGAGAUUGAGAAAAUUUUUAGGAAAAAUGACAUCCGCAAGAGCAUGUUUUUUUCCUUCAAUGCCCUUUAUUGUUGUUGGUUUAGGGAAAGGAUAUUGGUUUUUCUCAAUCAGCUGGAUCUCCAACAGAUCACUUACUCAUCCCCAAUACUAAAAAUAUGAAAUAUAAGGGAUUACAGUUGCUCCAAGAUUGUAUAUCCAAUACAUAAAAGUUUUAAGUAAUACCUAAAAUCCAACCCCUCUUCCUCGAAUGUCAGUGAUCCACUCUCCCUCCCCUAUCUACUUUAAAGGUAUUGGUAAUUUGUUGAGAGAGGAGAAGAAAAGACUAUGUUACUAAUAAUAGGAAAUCGUCAAUUUAGACUUCCAGAGAACAUAUGAUAAAUAAUAACCCAUUAGAGAUGCUACUGCCCCUUCUUGAUGUAGUCCAUAGCAAGUUACCCAUAAUCUUAUGGACUAUCCAUUGAGAAUAAAAAAUAUUACUUUAUUUUUUUUCUCCUUCCUCUCUAUUGGUCUUGUACAGGACUGUAGAGAUGAAUAAUUUUUUAUUUUAGAUAGAACCCACCUUAUAGACUACUUGUUGGCUUAAAUAUCGUGGAAACAAAACCAUAAUUAUACGCUGAUUAUGUUGGUCUGUAUAUGGAUUACUUGGUCUAUAUAUAUUAUGGUUGCUCUAAUACCCCUUGAAAAUGAUACUGCGCGGCUGUUCGUUCUAUCCAACACCACGCACAUGGACCUAUGGCCCAAUUAGACCAACGCAGAUGUCACCAAAGAAAGAAGAUCGUGUUGGUUCCUCUGACGCCUCAUCAUUUCCAUCGCCUCUGCAUGCACCGGCCGCUCGCUGCUACGCUCGCCGCUGCUUUCGCUGCUACGCUUGCUGCUGCGCUCAUUGAUGCUCUCCAGGAUGGACGCAUGCUCGCAUCCAGCUUGCUGCUACGCCUGCCUAUUCGCGCUCUUUCCCUCCCUCCUCCCUCAGCAACCUCCCUGCUCCCUCAUCAGACACAAGGAUGACGGCGGCUCCAGCAAGAUAGGUCAGGUCUUUUCUAGAUUUGAGCCUCCUCCUCCUCCUUCUUCUCCUCCUCCUCCUCCUCCUAAUCCUCAUCCUUAUCCUUAUCCUCCUCCUCCUCUAGAUUUAAGGGACACAGUGGUGACUAAAGGUCUGGUGAACUCCUGCUUCCUCCGGCGAGCUUGAUGGUGAUGGGCUAGGGGUUGGAUCAGAGCCUAUCCCCUUACUGUUUUUGCACGUCUUUUUUCGUUGUUUCUCCGUGUUAUAAUGGUUUUUUAAUAUUGUGAUAGAUGAUUUUUAAAUAUUGUAAUGAGAUUCUUGGGUUCUUUCAACAGAUGACUUUCGAAUAUUUCCUUUCCAUUUUCAUGGUUAAUUUUGCGAUGUUGCAAUACUAUUAUUUGAGAUGGUGCAACACAUAAUUUUGGAUGGUGCAACACAUAAUUUUUAUGUUGCAAUAUAUGUUUUUUCGAUGUUGCAGUAUAUAUUUUUCGAUGUUGCAGUACUUUAUUUUUGAUAUUGCAUCACAUAAUUUUCAAGUUGCAGUACAUAUUUUUCGAUGUUGUUAUAUAUUGUUUUUGAUGUUACACUACAUAUUUUUAUGAUAUUGCAACUUUUAUAUUUUGAUGUUGCACUUGCGAAUAUGUUACGUUGGGGACGGGGACAGAGGCGUGAUGGGGAACGGGGCCCAGUGGGGGAAAAAGGCGUGAUGGAGAAUGGAGUGCUGUGGGGGAACUGGGUGCAGUGGGGAACAGGGACGGGGGGCAUGAUGGGGAACGGGGAUAGGAUGCGGUGGGGAACAGAGUCAGGAGCGCGGGUGCAGAACGGGAUGCGAUGGAGGAACGAGAUGCAGUUAGAGAGCGCUACCUGGAACGUGCGUCCGGACGCUGCCUGCAUCCUAACGUCCGGGCGCUAGGUAUUCCGCCCUUGCACUAGUUACCUCACCCCUAGACCCCCUCCACCAGGCCUCGCAGCUUCUUAUUCUCGAUCUCACUCACCAAUCGCUAGCGGUCGUCGGAUGCGGGAUGAGCGGUAAGAGCAUCUCCAGCAAUCCCCCUUUCCUAACUCCCAGUGAGAAAAAAUAUUUAUUUUAGAGAUCUUAUAACUUCAGCAGUUUUUCAAACCCAAUCCCAAUGAGAAAUUUUUCUCAGUCCUUCAAAUCCUAGUCUCCUACCUCUCAAAUAAAUGAGAGACCUUCCUCCCCUAAUCCACUGUUUUUUUAUUGGAGAUUGGAUUUUCUCAUUCUGCUAGAGAAAAGACUUUUAAAAACCUUAAAAAAAUGUUUUGUAUCUCCUCCGAUAACUAGGUCGGAAUUUACUCCAACUACGAUGCUCUAACUUCGUGCUCGUGCAUGUGUGGGCCCCGUCCAAGAAACGGAACACACGGGUGGCUCUGGUGCCACCGCGGUGCCAUCCCCAUCCGGGCAUGCAUGCUAUUGCUUGCUGCCUGUGUCAAUAAGUCACAGCAAGCGACAAGGGAGCAGGGCUCUCUUCAGGAAUCACAGGAGCACGAGGCGAUCCACCCGCAGUACCGGACGAUCACGAGCCUGUGAGUAAUUUGGAUGGAGAAACAUCACCACGGUCUUAUUUAGUUCUAUUUUUUUUUGCAAAAUAGACAUUAUAGUACUUUCGUUUGCAUUUUACAAAUAUUGUCCAAUCAUAAAAUAACUAGGCUCAAAAGAUUCGUCUCACAAAUUAUAGAUAAACUGUUCAAUUAAUUAUUUAUUUUAUCUAUAUUUAAUACUAUAUGCAUUUAUUGUAAGAUUUAGUGUGACGAAAAAUCUAGAAUAUUUUAUAAAAAAAUUUAGAAACUAAACAAAGCCCAGAUCAGACAACAGUGGCUCGGUGCCACUUGGCCACUGCCAGUAUGCCACCUUUGAACCGGCCGAGUCUUCGUCGGCUCUCUACGCCAGGGCUAUAGAUGUACAUUUGGCCCGUUAAAUUUAGCCCGGUCCGUGGCCCGGCCUUUUGGCCCGGUCCGUGGCACGGCCCGGUCUGGUGUUUGCGGGCCACGGGCGGCCCGGCCCGUUGCCGGACCGGGCCAUGGGCCGCACCCUCGGCCCGCAGCACGGUGGUGGCCCGGUCGGCCCGUGGCCCGACACGGCCCGCUCAUUUUGUUCUAUAUGUUGUGAUUUUGUGCUCUUUCUCUUUGAUAUAACUUGUGAAUUGAGAUAUGUUUUGCUUGAAACAAUGAAAUUGUAUGCUGCUUCUUUCAUAUAUGUUGUGAUUUGUGAAAAAAAUUGACCUUUGUUAAAAAAAACUGAUAAAUUAAGACAUGAGAUGCUUGUCGGGCUGUGGGCCGGCCCGGCCCGACCGGGGCGGCACGGCCCGGAAAAAUGGCCCACGGGCCGGACCAUGGGCCGCACCCUCGGCCCGCAGCACGGUGGUGGCCCGGCCCGCGGCCCGACGUGGCCCGCCCCGUGCCGGCCCGGUCCGGCCCGUUGUACACCUAUAGCCAGGGCCUCAAGUCCUUAGCGGGAUUUUUUUAAUAUAUAUGUAUAUAUAUAUAUAAAACUCUCUCCAACUUUGCUCAAAAGCUCGAAUUUUCAUGGAAAAAACCAUAUUUUUUUAUCUCUUCAACCUCAGUCACAAGAGAAGUAGAUUGGACUACAUCGAUAAUUUGAUAGCCGGCGCGGUUAUACUUAAUAAAAAAAGUAUGGACACAUUUUUUAAUAUCAAAACAAAUUCCAAAUAUUUUUUUUGGAAAAGUUAUGCAACUAAAACCCAAAUAAGUUUAAGAUCUUUUCUUAAUUAAAUCAUGCUCUAUCUUGUGGUUGGUCUGGUUUAGAAAUAUUUUAUUUUUAUAUGGCCUUUUGGUGUCUUUUUCUAGUGCAUGCUCUUCUUUUAUGUUAAAACUAGACUAUGAUUAUGACCUAGAUUAUGUAAAAGUUUAUGUGACUUCGAGGACGCCACAACUCCACGAAGUGACACGUAACUAACUCAUACUUGAUCUUAUUUAGUAUGAACACAUGCGUCACUUGCACAUGAUGCAGUAAUUCAAAAUUCAUCGAACCUCACAUCUAUGAACACAAGCACACACAAACCUCAUGUGUCAAUUUUGUGCUAGUAAUUCAAAAUUCACCAAAUUAAAUUCAUUUUUAUGUUUGUAAACAAGAAACAGAAAACAUGAACUAUUGGUAUAAGAUGUUUCUUUGCAAUAGGUCGAUCGAGUCUACAUCAACCACAGGUAGCUAGAUUGCUUAAUUCCCAUCUUCUUGUGUCGAGUAGCGACUUGUAUCCAUAUUAAAUAGGAUCAAGUAUAAGAUGUUUACAUCAAACUUAUGCAGAAUGCAGUCAUCAAAGUCACUUAGCUAGCUUGAACGACUUGGGUCAUCAACAUAGACCACAAUUGUAACAAAUAACGAGUGUUUUCACUAGCAAAUAACCAUCAAAAGAAGACCAUAUAAGAUUCAAGUAAUUCUAGGCUAGGUGCUACAAUAUAAACUACUACUAUAAAUCUUAUAUUAAAUAUUUCAACCAAUAACAAUUUUCAAAUAUAUAUAGGUGGUUAGUAGCGCUCCCAAAAAUGGACAACAAUUCUAGGGCAUCUAGAAACACCAACUGCCUCUAGAAAUUCUACAAACAAAUUGCCCCUUGAACCAUUUUAGGGUCAUUCUUUUAUGUAACCAUAGCUAGAAAAAUGAGACGCGUCUCUGUAACCGUUUAUGUUGUAUUGAUAGAGCAUGUCUCUAAUAAUCAUCGUCGGAUGAUACAAAUAGUCUUCUAUUCCCUUCACAGUAUCGUUUGGUCACACGUUGCAUCAUGUGACUUUAAUUUCUUCACUGCCACUUGUCAUUUUUGUAUAAUCCAGUGGCCUUCAGUUCUCCUCGGCGGAUGAUUCCGUGACUUGAAAGUGGACCUAUCUUCAUAUGGUUAUCAUCGUAUGAUCAAGUGGACAUAUUUCACUUGAUUUGGUGCUUGUUUUUGGCUUCAUUUUUUUCUCAUGGCCUUGUUCGUUCUUUUUACAGCUUGUUUCUUAGCAUCCAUAGGAUUUAUAUAAAUUUGCAAACAUAUCUCAACACCAAUUAAUGUAAGGUAUAUCGAUUGAAUAACCAAAAACCACAAUAGAAUAUGGCACUGUGCCCCCAUGUACUCCUUGCAACUAGUUUGGCAAGUUACGACGCAACGGGGAAAUGAUUUUACUAUUUAUUUUUUUACCAAAAAUUUCCUAUAUAUACGUCCUCCAUCCUAAAAUACAAGGGACGAUUUAGAGUUUAAAAUUUGUACCAAAAAUACAAUCUUUAUAGCGAGAAAAAUACUGAGAUUCCUUAAACUUGACGUCAUCUAAAACACUUGAACUAUUCCCAGUCCAAAUUAAACUUAUCGACCGAAUCUAACAACCAUUUAACAUUGUACAUGCCACGGCUUUUCAGUUAAGCAAAUAGACAUUAUAGCCAUGUGUUUCGUCCGAUGCAUCAUACCCAUAUAGGUUUCAGAAAACUUUAUCCAUCCUCUGAACGCUGAAGCGUUAUCGUUGUACAGAGAGGCAAAGAAUAGCCGCCAGCGAGGCAAAAAUAGGACACGCGGUAUGUAUUUAAUUAUUAUUAUAAGGAGCCAUCUCGAAACAUGCAUAUAUAUAUUAUUUUCCCUCAGAUCUCGCCGCGCCACGCAUACAUUAUCCCAGACUUUUGCAGUAGCGAGCUUGAUCUUUGCAGUAAACGACUAGCAGUAAUACUACUAG